rnacentral:rRNA from 1 species
UGGGGAAUAUUGGACAAUGGGCGAAAGCCUGAUCCAGCCAUGCCGCGUGUGUGAAGAAGGUCUUCGGAUUGUAAAGCCCUUUAAGUUGGGAGGAAGGGCAGUAAGCGAAUACCUUGCUGUUUUGACGUUACCGACAGAAUAAGCACCGGCUAACUCUGUGCCAGCAGCCGCGGUAAUACAGAGGGUGCAAGCGUUAAUCGGGAUUACUGGGCGUAAAGCGCGCGUAGGUGGUUCGUUAAGUUGAAUGUGAAAGCCCCGGGCUCAACCUGGGAACUGCAUCCAGAACUGGCGAGCUAGAGUAGGGCAGAGGGUGGUGGAAUUUCCUGUGUAGCGGUGAAAUGCGUAGAUAUAGGAAGGAACACCAGUGGCGAAGGCGACCACCUGGGCUCAUACUGACACUGAGGUGCGAAAGCGUGGGGAGCAAACAGG